ensembl:lncRNA
GGGUACCGGUACAGAGUCGAUGUGGAGGCUAUAUACAGGGGGUACCGGUACAGAGUCAAUGUGGAGGCUAUAUACAGGGGGUACCGGUACAGAGUCAAUGUGGAGGCUAUAUACAGGGGGUACCGGUACAGAGUCAAUGUGGAGGCUAUAUACAGGGGGUACCGGUACAGAGUCAAUGUGGAGGCUAUAUACAGGGGGUACCGGUACAGAGUCAAUGUGGAGGCUAUAUACAGGGGUACCGGUACAGAGUCAAUGUGGAGGCUAUAUACAGGGGGUACCGGUACAGAGUCGAUGUGGAGGCUAUAUACAGGGGGUACCGGUACAGAGUCGAUGUGGAGGCUAUAUACAGGGGGUACCGGUACAGAGUCGAUGUGGAGACUAUAUACAGG